CACCCGGGUGACCAAUGAUCGUAUCACAAUCGGAUAUGAUGAGCGACAUUGGACAACACCAACGACGGAGUAGCAUAGUGCAUUGGCCCAUGACAUUGGGCACGUCGUGCGGACCUUUUGCCCUAUGCAGUGGAAGUCUUGGAAGGCGAUGCCAGAGAAGGUGAAGAACACGGUGCGCAAUCAUUUGUUAACAAACUACAAUUUGGAUGACAUCAACGAGGACAUGUUGACGUACCUCAAUCGGCUAUACUCCGAACGCUACAAGUUGUGGAAGAGUGACUUGCACCAGUAUUUCGAGAUGUUUAGUGAUCCACAGGUCGCUCUCGAGGAGGGUUGCCUGAACGAGCUUGAAGACCGACAAGAUAAUUGGGAUUGACUUUGCGGUCAUUUUCAGGAGCCGGGCUAUGUGAAGAAGGCGAAGGCGAACAAGGGCAAUCGGGAGAAGAAGACUCUUUUCCACCAUUCGGGUUUAAGGCUUUUCUCAUAUAGGAUGUAGGCGUGGCAGAAGGAGGGUUCAAAUUUCCCGGAGAUCGAUGUCUUUGCUAACGUUUAUGUUCGGCCUGGGAUGAGUUGACCGAGUUACUUCUUGCAAGCGACUAUGGUGGAGAAGGGUUAGUUGCUUCAGGAGUUCGCCUCCCAGCUUCCCCAGGACACGCCAAUCGAUCUGUGGAUCCCUCUGAAGAUGCGGGGUUUCACAUCCUUACAGAGACGUUCAACCACACUUUUGGUCGGACGCAAGGGACAUAUUGUCGGGGGUUGGGAAAUGCCAGGUGGAGGGAGAGUAGAGCAUCUUCAUCCUUGCAGUCGAAGGGCGAGGUUAUGGCUUUGACGCAGGAAGUCGCUAGCAUGAGGAGUGAGCUUGCAUCGUACAUGUCUUAAAUGUGAAUGCUUGUACAAGCCCUUAGUUCCUCCGGGAUCCGUCUCCCCAGUUUUUUUGCACCACGACCGUCAGAGCCCCUCCACACCGUGCAUACACAGCAAUCAGGCCCGUCGACCUUCGACCCCGUCCCUAACCCCACCUUCUUCUAGCAGCAAGAUUACCAAGCACCUCUAAAUGACUUGCGUAUAGACUAUUCCUUAUUUUUUUCAUAGUUU